rnacentral:rRNA from 1 species
UCGCUGCCCGGGACUGAGUUGUUUCGAGAAAAGCGGAGACUGCUGCUCUGAGCGUUUUCGGACGAUCGUUGCGGCGAGAACCGCGUUAAUCGAAACGGCUUGAACCGGGCAAAAGUCGUAACAAGGUUUCCGUAGGUGAACCUGCGGAAGGAUCAUUA